GACGAACGCUGGCGGCGUGCCUAAUACAUGCAAGUCGAACGCAGUGGCGGACGGGUGAGUAACACGUGGGUAACUACCCAUCAGAGGGGGAUAACUAUUGGAAACGAUAGCUAAUACCGCAUACUACCAGAUGGACCUGCGUUGUAUUAGGUAGUUGGUGGUGUAACGGCUUACCAAGGCGACGGUACAUAGCCGACCUGAGAGGGUGAUCGGCCACACUGGGACUGAGAAAAGGCCCAGACUCCUACGGGAGGCAGCAGUAGGGAAUCUUCGGCAAUGGACGGAAGUCUGACCGAGCAACGCCGCGUGAGUGAAGAAGGUUUUCGGAUCGUAAAGCUCUGUUGUAAGAGAAGCGGUAUCUUACCAGAAAGGGACGGCUAACUACGUGCCAGCAGCCGCGGUAAUUC
rnacentral:rRNA from 1 species